rnacentral:rRNA from 1 species
UACGUAGGGUGCAAGCGUUAAUCGGAAUUACUGGGCGUAAAGCGCACGUAGGCGGCUUUGUAAGUUAGAGGUGAAAGCCCGGGGCUCAACUCCGGAAUUGCCUUUUAGACUGCAUCGCUUGAAUCAUGGAGAGGUCAGUGGAAUUCCGAGUGUAGAGGUGAAAUUCGUAGAUAUUCGGAAGAACACCAGUGGCGAAGGCGGCUGACUGGACAUGUAUUGACGCUGAGGUGCGAAAGCGUGGGGAGCAAACAGG